rnacentral:rRNA from 1 species
UACGUAGGGAGCAAGCGUUGUCCGGAAUCAUUGGGCGUAAAGGGCGCGUAGGCGGUAUGUUAAGUCAAAUGUGAAAUGCACCAGCUUAACUGGUGAGCUGCGUUUGAAACUGGCAAACUAGAGAUCAGGAGAGGAAAGUGGAAUUCCUAGUGUAGCGGUGAAAUGCGUAGAUAUUAGGAAGAACAUCUAUGGCGAAGGCAGCUUUCUGGCCUGACACUGACGCUGAGGCGCGAAAGCGUGGGGAGCAAACAGG